rnacentral:rRNA from 1 species
CCUACGGGUGGCAGCAGUGGGGAAUAUUGCACAAUGGGGGAAACCCUGAUGCAGCGACGCCGCGUGAGUGAAGAAGUAUUUCGGUAUGUAAAGCUCUAUCAGCAGGGAAGAUAAUGACGGUACCUGAGUAAGAAGCCCCGGCUAACUACGUGCCAGCAGCCGCGGUAAUACGUAGGGGGCAAGCGUUAUCCGGAUUUACUGGGCGUAAAGGGAGCGUAGGCGGCAGGACAAGUCUGGUGUGAAAUGCCGGGGCUUAACCCCGGGGCUGCAUUGGAAACUGUGCGGCUGGAGUGCCGGAGAGGUAGGUGGAAUUCCUAGUGUAGCGGUGAAAUGCGUAGAUAUUAGGAGGAACACCAGUGGCGAAGGCGGCUUACUGGACGGUGACUGACGUUGAGGCUCGAAAGCGUGGGGAGCAAACAGGAUUAGAUACCCUGGUAGUC